rnacentral:rRNA from 1 species
UGCCUCAGUAACUGCGAGUGAAGCGGCAAAAGCUCAAAUUUGAAAUCGGUGCCCACAAGUCGCAUCGAGUUGUAAUUUGGAGGGACAACUUCGGGCUGAACCACAUCGUAAGUUCCUUGGAACAGGACGUCACAGAGGGUGAGAAUCCCGUGUCUCGAUGUCGGGUCAAAACCAGGUGAAGUGUCUCCGACGAGUCGAGUUGUUUGGGAAUGCAGCUCAAAAUGGGUGGUAAAUUUCAUCUAAAGCUAAAUAUUGGCGAGAGACCGAUAGCGCACAAGUAGAGUGAUCGAAAGAUGAAAAGCACUUUGAAAAGAGAGUUAAAAAGUACGUGAAAUUGUUGAAAGGGAAGCGCUUGCGACCAGACUCGCUCGUCGGUGAUCGGCCGGGCUUCUGUCCGGUGGCCUCGCCAACGAUUGGGCCAGCAUCGGUUCUGACGGCAGGAUAAAAGGAGGAGGAAUGUGGCUCCCUUUGGCGAGUGUUAUAGCCACCUCCACAAUGCUGCCAGCUGGAACCGAGGACCGCGCUUCGGCUAGGAUGCUGGCGAAAUGGUCUCAAGCGACCCGUCUUGAAACACGGACCAAGGAGUCUAACAUCUAUGCGAGUGUUCGGGUGGAAAACCCUUGCGCGUAAUGAAAGUGAACGGAGGUGUGAACCCUUCACGGGGUGCAACAUCGACCGGUCCUGAUGUCUUCGGAAGGAUCUGAGUAAGAGCAUAGCUGUUGGGACCCGAAAGAUGGUGAACUAUGCCUGAAUAGGGUGAAGCCAGA